rnacentral:rRNA from 1 species
UACAGAGGGUGCAAGCGUUAAUCGGAAUUACUGGGCGUAAAGCGCGCGUAGGCGGCUUGACAAGUCGAGUGUGAAAUCCCCGGGCUUAACCUGGGAGCUGCAUUCGAAACUGUCUUGCUAGAGUAUGGGAGAGGGAGGUGGAAUUUCAGGUGUAGCGGUGAAAUGCGUAGAUAUCUGAAGGAACAUCAGUGGCGAAAGCGACUUCCUGGACCAAUACUGACGCUCAUGUGCGAAAGCGUGGGGAGCAAACAGG